CUUUAUAACAGAAGGCAGUUACGAGUGAGAAGUGACAAGUGACACCAACUAAGUCGUUUGUUAACAAAGAGACGAGUGCCAAAAAAGAAAUAGACGGCCAAAGCAUCCAAGUCGAUUAAGAGCUACUUGUGUGCAUCAAGUGUGAACAAAACCAUCGCGAGAUGAUGAAACCGGCGCGCCUCCAUUAGACACAUUUCUGAAAUCCGUCCAAAUCGUUUUGCGCCGCACACUAGCGACUAAUCGUCGUUGACGAUGUCCAUUACCCAGAAGUUACGAUAUUGUGUUAUGUCAAAGCAAAAAAGAGGAAUAUUUCACGCGAUCGAUAAGAUUUACCAUAAAACACAUAGCCCGACAUAGUCGAUUCAUAUAUCACGCAUCUCCGCAUUACAAUAUUCAUGUGACAUAUUUGUGUAUGAUGUAAUUAUAUAACAUGAGAAUGUAUUAAUUUGCAGAUAUUUAGAAGAUAAAUUCUACGAGGGAAUUACUUUGUGGUUAGCGACAGUAGUGGAAGACAAGUGAUAACAAUCGUGAUGACAAUCACCAAAAUCUUUGUUAAUAUAAUAGAUAAAAAAGACUAAUCUAAAACGAGUGCUAAAAGGAGAGUGAGAAAAUUACAUAUUUAUAUUUUGUAUGUUUCUACAUGUUAUUUCUUAUAAUAUAUAGAAUGCUAAGAAAAAAAGGAUUAAAAAUUCAUAAAGCAGUAGCACAGAAAAAAGAGUAAUUUAAAUAGUCGAUGGAAAAUGAUAGUAAAAAUAAUUAGAAAAAAUAAUGAAGGAAAAAAAAGAUAAAUAAAAUCAAGAGACAAAAAAGUAGUAAAAUAUAUUUUUGCAAGAGCUUUGUGCAUGGAAAAAUAAUAUAGAAAAACAAGAUGUAUGCGAUGUUUUAGCAUUAUGUGUAUUUAAUUUCGUCAAAAUGAUAAAAUUUAAGUAAUCUUUAAUUCCCACCCUUUUUUCACGCUCUU